UAACAAGGAUUCCCCUAGUAACUGCGAGUGAACCGGGAAAAGCUCAAAUUUAAAAUCUGGCAGCCUUGGCUGUCCGAGUUGUAAUCUGGAGAAGCGUCUUCCGCGCUGGACCGUGUACAAGUCUCCUGGAACGGAGCGUCAUAGAGGGUGAGAAUCCCGUCUUUGACACGGACUACCAGUGCUCUGUGAUGCGCUCUCAAAGAGUCGAGUUGUUUGGGAAUGCAGCUCAAAAUGGGUGGUAAACUCCAUCUAAAGCUAAAUAUUGGCGAGAGACCGAUAGCGAACAAGUACCGUGAGGGAAAGAUGAAAAGCACUUUGGAAAGAGAGUUAAACAGUACGUGAAAUUGCUGAAAGGGAAACGCUUGAAGUCAGUCGCGUUUGCUAGGACUCAGCCUUGCCUCGGCUUGGUGCAUUUCCUAGUAGACGGGCCAGCAUCACUUUUGACUGCGGGAGAAAGGUUGGAGGAAUGUGGCACCUUCGGGUGUGUUAUAGCCUCUAGCUGUAUGCCGUGGUUGGGAGUGAGGAACUCAGCACGCCGCAAGGCGGGGCUUCGGCCACCUUCGUGCUUAGGAUGCUGGC
rnacentral:rRNA from 1 species